UUUAUCCCAGAGCUCCCCGUUUCUUUGGCGGUCUCCAGAAGGGCCGAGUGGCAAAGACGGGGCUUGUGUCAGCGCCCUGGUCUCCCACCUCUCGCCCAGCCUGUGCCUGGGCACGCCCGCCCGCGUCAAGUGUUUGGAACCCGCAUGUGACCCAGAGGAAAUGCCUGAAAUUGGCUGGAGCAUCAAGAGGACCUGGCACCAAAAGGGCCCAUUGAGUCCAUCCAAAUCACUGGAGCUCCAGCUAUGACAGGAUGGUUCUUCUUUACAAGGACCUACUAAAAAAUUCAUCUUGGAUGUGCUAUGACGGCCUCAGUGUCCAUUGAAAGCACUCCCUUACUUGAGGUUCAAUCAGUGCAGCAACAAAAUGUUGACUAAAGCCUGCCAUUUGACUAAAGGAAAAACAAUAAAAAUCACCACUAGCUAGAAAUACACAUUUGGAGUAGCACAUGAUUUUGGGAUGUUCUGGAAACCAAGAGGAUAUCUGAUCUCUGCUUGACCAACUAUUUAUUUUAAAAAUAUUUAUUUAUGCAUACAAGAACUGGCGUGUAGACCAGAGGUGUGGAAGGUGAGAGGAUUCACCAGAGAAAGUGGGGAGCAGAACAGGCAGAUCUACUGAAAUAUUGUGCUGAGGGGAGCAGAGGGUGAGACAGGAGAGGUUUACGUGCCAUGUGGGUUGCUCCCUGACGGGCCAAGAAUCAAACUUGUGCUGCAGUGGCUGGUGAUAGCUUGAUAGCACUGUGUCUUUAAUCCCUGUGCCACCAGGGAUUGACCACCUAUUUAAAAGGGAAAGCAAGUGGCUGCCUUGUUAGAAGCCAUUUGCCUCCUAAAGAAUUGGUAGAAAUAAAGACCCAAGGGAAUUCCUAGGCAAUACCUUAGAAAGGAAGUAAGCUAGUACAUCAAGCAGCUAGGGAAGCAACUUUCUCAGAAGUAAUGACCUCAACCUAAAUGUGUUUGCUUUCCCAUGCUAAGUUGAGACAGUUUUUCAGAAAAUUGCUACCAAAAAGAAAGAUGUGGAUCCAGAAUGGGGAAGUUUUUUAUUCUCACAUGUUUGUAGGUUGGACCAAACUGAUGCCUAACACCUCCCCUAAGAAUGUAGCUCCCCAUAUCAGAUGUUUCACUUAUAUGCAGAAUAUAGAGAAACCAAACAAAAGGUCGAGAAAAAUACAAAACUCGCAAGCUAGAUCCGAGGCAUACAGUAAGGGG